GGUCUGGUGGUCUAGUGGUAUGAUUCUCGCUUAGGGUACACCCUAUUCCCAGUAAGCUGGUCCUUGAAGACUGGCGCGCAUGCGAGAGGUCCCGGGUUCAAUCCCCGGCCAGACCC